rnacentral:rRNA from 1 species
UACGUAGGUGGCGAGCGUUGUCCGGAAUUACUGGGUGUAAAGGGAGCGUAGGCGGGAGAGCAAGUCGACUGUGAAAUCUAUAGGCUUAACCCAUAGCUGCGAUCGAAACUGUUCAUCUUGAGUGAAGUAGAGGCAGGCGGAAUUCCUAGUGUAGCGGUGAAAUGCGUAAAUAUUAGGAGGAACACCAGUGGCGAAGGCGGCCUGCUGGGCUUUAACUGACGCUGAGGCUCGAAAGCGUGGGUAGCAAACAGG